CUACGGGAGGCAGCAGUGGGGAAUUUUCCGCAAUGGGCGAAAGCCUGACGGAGCAACGCCGCGUGAGGGAUGAAGGCCUCUGGGCUGUAAACCUCUUUUCUCAAGGAAGAAGAACUGACGGUACUUGAGGAAUAAGCCACGGCUAAUUCCGUGCCAGCAGCCGCGGUAAUACGGGAGUGGCAAGCGUUAUCCGGAAUUAUUGGGCGUAAAGCGUCCGCAGGCGGCCUUGUAAGUCUGUCGUUAAAACGUGGAGCUCAACUCCAUUUGAGCGAUGGAAACUACAAGGCUGGAGUGUGGUAGGGGCAGAGGGAAUUCCCGGUGUAGCGGUGAAAUGCGUAGAUAUCGGGAAGAACACCAGUGGCGAAGGCGCUCUGCUGGGCCAUAACUGACGCUCAUGGACGAAAGCCAGGGGAGCGAAAGGGAUUAGAUACCCCUGUAGUCCUGGCCGUAAACGAUGAACACUAGGUGUCGGGGGAAUCGACCCCCUCGGUGUCGUAGCCAACGCGUUAAGUGUUCCGCCUGGGGAGUACGCACGCAAGUGUGAAACUCAAAUGAA
rnacentral:rRNA from 1 species